rnacentral:misc_RNA from 1 species
ACGCAAACUGCAUAAAAUAGAUCGCGCCAGUCAGCCCGCCCGUAGCAUAGUGGCUCUUCCCACUUUUCUUUUGGAGGAGAGUUUGUUACUGCCGCAUAAUUCCAAACCCGAGCUGCGUUUUCACCGCUGGCUGCCAACAACGAUGUUUUCCAUACUGUGAGAGAUGAUGACCGGACGAGGCGUCGUCGACGAUGAUGACGACGAGACUACAAGCUCGAGCGAAGGCAGCAGCUCCUCUUCGGACAGCGAGGCCAGCGAGGCUCCUCCGAGCGCGCACAACGGCACGAAGGCGGCCGUUCCCCCCAUCCGUAAAGAUGGCAUGGCUGUCUGUGAGCGAUGUGGGACUGUCGGUGUGAAACAUGCAUUCUACUCCAAGACCAAGCGUUACUGCAGCGUCCUCUGCUCUCGGGGGCUUGUCCGAGCUGGGGGUGGAAAGACGUCAUCCUCGCAGAACCUGACCAAGCGUCCUGUGCCACAAGCACAGCGAAAUGCUCCACACAUAUUAAAGCCCAAAUAUGAAAUGGUUACUUCCUUUGACUGGAAGCCCUACCUGACCAAGAGUGACUUUGUGGCAGCCCCCGUUUCCUGUUUUAAGCAUGUUGCCUUUGCUGAUUGUUGGGAUAACGUGACUGUCGGGAUGAAGGUCGAGGUUGAAAACAGGGACUGUGAGAGCUUCAAGCACAUCUUCACCAGCUUCUACUGGAUUGCUACUGUGGUCAAGAUAGCUGGCUACAUGGCCAAGCUUCGAUACGAAGGGUUUGGAAUGGAUGACAGCAAGGACUUCUGGGUCAACCUCUGCGUCGAUGCAGUGUAUCCAGUGGGCUGGUGCGCAUCACAGGGAAAGCCUCUUAUACCACCAAAGACGAUUGAGCACAAGCAUGGCGACUGGAAGCAGUUCCUGGUCAAGCGGCUGACAGGCGCUCGUACUCUCCCAACAAACUUUCAUGCCAAGGUUCGCGAGUGCAUUCGUGGCCAGUUCCCCAUCGGGCUGCGGCUGGAAGUGGUGGACAAGAAGCGCAUCUCCUCAGUCAGGGUGGCUCGCGUGACCCACUGUGUGGGAGGCCGCAUCCACAUAGCGUAUGAGGGUCUUGAGGAUGACGGCUUCUGGUGCCACGAGCGCUCGCCACUCAUCCACCCCAUUGGCUGGGCGCAGGUCAUUGGCCAUGAUCUGAGAGCAUCGCCUGAGUAUGCAAAGGCGUCACUUGAAAAGGCACUCUUGAGAAAAUGUGAACCUGACGAAGCAUCGUGGGACAUGUUCCCACCUGUGCACACACCGCAAUGUGAGCUGAAAUUCAAAGAAGGCAUGAAGCUGGAGGCCAUUGACCCCCUCAAUCUGUCCACCAUCUGCGUUGCCACGGUGACUAAAGUCCUGCGCAACAACUAUCUCAUGAUUGGCAUCGAUGGCAUGAUGGCUGCCAACGGCUCUGACUGGUUCUGCUACCACGCCUCAUCACCCUGCAUUUUUCCUGUGGGUUUCUGCGAGCUCAAUGGAAUUGAGCUGACACCACCAAGAGGUCACAAAGGAGAGUUCCGCUGGUUUGACUAUCUUCGGCAAACUAAGUCUGUCGCAGCACCUGUGUCCCUUUUUAAAAAGGAUAUACCCAAGCAUGGCUUCCAGGAGGGCAUGCAUGCCGAGGCGGUGGACCUGAUGGAGCCGCGCCUCAUCUGCGUUGGUCGUGUGACCAAGGUGGUAGGCCGGCUGCUACGGGUGCACUUUGACGGCUGGGAGGAAAGCUAUGACCAGUGGUGUGACUGCGAGAGCCCCGACCUGUUUCCUGUUGGCUGGUGCCAGAUGGUCCAGUAUCCCCUGGAACCGCCCAGGCAGACCGAUACCAGCUUUCUCAAGAAGAAGAAAAAGUACCAGAGCUACAAGGGCCCCCGCAGAAGUGAAAAAGAAGAUGCGCUUCAUGCCUGGAAGCCGCAAGAGUGGGGGAACCAUCAAAGGUGGAUCUCCCGGUGAUGAUCUCUAUGGCGACGAUGAUGUCCACGCCAAAGCUGAUGUUGAUGACAUGGUCACGUCAUCAUCUGAUGCAAGUGCGCUGAACCGUUCGGACACCAGUAUCGGUGCCAGCCCACAGUCGACCGCAGCCAUGAGGCCGUUGGAAGUAGGCGAGGAAGUGGAAGAGGAACGAGUGCAGACACGAGGCGGCCUUGGGCUGAGCGUGUCCCUGAGCAGCCUGCACCCCCGGCGCUGGGGUGUGGCACACGUGGCGCG